rnacentral:rRNA from 1 species
GACAGAGGGUGCAAACGUUGUUCGGAGUUACUGGGCGUAAAGAGUGCGUAGGCGGUUUUCUAAGUUUGGUGUGAAAUCUCCCGGCUUAACUGGGAGGGUGCGCCGAAAACUGGAAGGCUUGAGUAUGGGAGAGGUAAGCGGAAUUCCUGGUGUAGCGGUGAAAUGCGUAGAUAUCAGGAGGAACACCUGCGGUGUAGACGGCUUACUGGACCAUAACUGACGCUGAGGCACGAAAGCGUGGGCAGCAAACAGG